AGAUUGAACGCUGGCGGCAUGCCUUACACAUGCAAGUCGAACGGCAGCACGGGAGCAAUCCUGGUGGCGAGCGGCGAACGGGUGAGUAACGCGUGGAUAACCUGCCCUGAGGUGUGGAACAACCAGGGGAAACUCUGGCUAAUACCGCAUGAUACCGAGAGGUCAAAGGGGGCUCGCAAGAGCUCUCGCCACAGGAGGGUCCGCGUUCGAUUAGCUAGUUGGUAGGGUAAUGGCCUACCAAGGCGACGAUCGAGUACGCCGGCCUGAGGAGGGUGAUCCGGCCACACGUGGAACUGAGACGACGGUCCAG
rnacentral:rRNA from 1 species